UUAAGCGACUAAGCGUACACGGUGGAUGCCCUGGCAGUCAGAGGCGAUGAAGGACGUGCUAAUCUGCGAUAAGCGUCGGUAAGGUGAUAUGAACCGUUAUAACCGGCGAUUUCCGAAUGGGGAAACCCAGUGUGAUUCGUCACACUAUCAUUAACUGAAUCCAUAGGUUAAUGAGGCGAACCGGGGGAACUGAAACAUCUAAGUACCCCGAGGAAAAGAAAUCAACCGAGAUUCCCCCAGUAGCGGCGAGCGAACGGGGAGCAGCCCAGAGCCUGAAUCAGUGUGUGUGUUAGUGGAAGCGUCUGGAAAGGCGUGCGAUACAGGGUGACAGCCCCGUACACAAAAAUGCACAUGCUGUGAGCUCGAUGAGUAGGGCGGGACACGUGGUAUCCUGUCUGAAUAUGGGGGGACCAUCCUCCAAGGCUAAAUACUCCUGACUGACCGAUAGUGAACCAGUACCGUGAGGGAAAGGCGAAAAGAACCCCGGCGAGGGGAGUGAAAAAGAACCUGAAACCGUGUACGUACAAGCAGUGGGAGCACGCUUAGGCGUGUGACUGCGUACCUUUUGUAUAAUGGGUCAGCGACUUAUAUUCUGUAGCAAGGUUAACCGAAUAGGGGAGCCGAAGGGAAACCGAGUCUUAACUGGGCGUUAAGUUGCAGGGUAUAGACCCGAAACCCGGUGAUCUAGCCAUGGGCAGGUUGAAGGUUGGGUAACACUAACUGGAGGACCGAACCGACUAAUGUUGAAAAAUUAGCGGAUGACUUGUGGCUGGGGGUGAAAGGCCAAUCAAACCGGGAGAUAGCUGGUUCUCCCCGAAAGCUAUUUAGGUAGCGCCUCGUGAAUUCAUCUCCGGGGGUAGAGCACUGUUUCGGCAAGGGGGUCAUCCCGACUUACCAACCCGAUGCAAACUGCGAAUACCGGAGAAUGUUAUCACGGGAGACACACGGCGGGUGCUAACGUCCGUCGUGAAGAGGGAAACAACCCAGACCGCCAGCUAAGGUCCCAAAGUCAUGGUUAAGUGGGAAACGAUGUGGGAAGGCCCAGACAGCCAGGAUGUUGGCUUAGAAGCAGCCAUCAUUUAAAGAAAGCGUAAUAGCUCACUGGUCGAGUCGGCCUGCGCGGAAGAUGUAACGGGGCUAAACCAUGCACCGAAGCUGCGGCAGCGACGCUUAUGCGUUGUUGGGUAGGGGAGCGUUCUGUAAGCCUGUGAAGGUGUACUGUGAGGUAUGCUGGAGGUAUCAGAAGUGCGAAUGCUGACAUAAGUAACGAUAAAGCGGGUGAAAAGCCCGCUCGCCGGAAGACCAAGGGUUCCUGUCCAACGUUAAUCGGGGCAGGGUGAGUCGACCCCUAAGGCGAGGCCGAAAGGCGUAGUCGAUGGGAAACAGGUUAAUAUUCCUGUACUUGGUGUUACUGCGAAGGGGGGACGGAGAAGGCUAUGUUGGCCGGGCGACGGUUGUCCCGGUUUAAGCGUGUAGGCUGGUUUUCCAGGCAAAUCCGGAAAAUCAAGGCUGAGGCGUGAUGACGAGGCACUACGGUGCUGAAGCAACAAAUGCCCUGCUUCCAGGAAAAGCCUCUAAGCAUCAGGUAACAUCAAAUCGUACCCCAAACCGACACAGGUGGUCAGGUAGAGAAUACCAAGGCGCUUGAGAGAACUCGGGUGAAGGAACUAGGCAAAAUGGUGCCGUAACUUCGGGAGAAGGCACGCUGAUAUGUAGGUGAAGCGACUUGCUCGUGGAGCUGAAAUCAGUCGAAGAUACCAGCUGGCUGCAACUGUUUAUUAAAAACACAGCACUGUGCAAACACGAAAGUGGACGUAUACGGUGUGACGCCUGCCCGGUGCCGGAAGGUUAAUUGAUGGGGUCAGCGCAAGCGAAGCUCUUGAUCGAAGCCCCGGUAAACGGCGGCCGUAACUAUAACGGUCCUAAGGUAGCGAAAUUCCUUGUCGGGUAAGUUCCGACCUGCACGAAUGGCGUAAUGAUGGCCAGGCUGUCUCCACCCGAGACUCAGUGAAAUUGAACUCGCUGUGAAGAUGCAGUGUACCCGCGGCAAGACGGAAAGACCCCGUGAACCUUUACUAUAGCUUGACACUGAACAUUGAGCCUUGAUGUGUAGGAUAGGUGGGAGGCUUGGAAGUGUGGACGCCAGUCUGCAUGGAGCCGACCUUGAAAUACCACCCUUUAAUGUUUGAUGUUCUAACGUUGACCCGUAAUCCGGGUUGCGGACAGUGUCUGGUGGGUAGUUUGACUGGGGCGGUCUCCUCCUAAAGAGUAACGGAGGAGCACGAAGGUUGGCUAAUCCUGGUCGGACAUCAGGAGGUUAGUGCAAUGGCAUAAGCCAGCUUGACUGCGAGCGUGACGGCGCGAGCAGGUGCGAAAGCAGGUCAUAGUGAUCCGGUGGUUCUGAAUGGAAGGGCCAUCGCUCAACGGAUAAAAGGUACUCCGGGGAUAACAGGCUGAUACCGCCCAAGAGUUCAUAUCGACGGCGGUGUUUGGCACCUCGAUGUCGGCUCAUCACAUCCUGGGGCUGAAGUAGGUCCCAAGGGUAUGGCUGUUCGCCAUUUAAAGUGGUACGCGAGCUGGGUUUAGAACGUCGUGAGACAGUUCGGUCCCUAUCUGCCGUGGGCGCUGGAGAACUGAGGGGGGCUGCUCCUAGUACGAGAGGACCGGAGUGGACGCAUCACUGGUGUUCGGGUUGUCAUGCCAAUGGCACUGCCCGGUAGCUAAAUGCGGAAGAGAUAAGUGCUGAAAGCAUCUAAGCACGAAACUUGCCCCGAGAUGAGUUCUCCCUGAGACUUUAAGUCUCCUGAAGGAACGUUGAAGACGACGACGUUGAUAGGCCGGGUGUGUAAGCGCAGCGAUGCGUUGAGCUAACCGGUACUAAUGAACCGUGAGGCUUAACCUU
rnacentral:rRNA from 2 species